rnacentral:rRNA from 1 species
GACGAACCGUGCGAACGUUGUUCGGAAUCACUGGGCUUAAAGGGCGCGUAGGCGGCGCAACAAGUCACUUGUGAAAUCUCCGGGCUUAACCCGGAGCGGCCAAGUGAUACUGUCGUGCUAGAGUGCGGAAGGGGCUACUGGAAUUCUCGGUGUAGCGGUGAAAUGCGUAGAUAUCGAGAGGAACACCUGCGGCGAAGGCGGGUAGCUGGGCCGACACUGACGCUGAGGCGCGAAAGCCAGGGGAGCGAACGGG